ensembl:lncRNA
GUCAAUUUCCUGAGACGAGGAUCAUGCUCUAAAAUUACUACCCUGUCCAGCACUGUUGGCCCAAUGGGAGAUAUCCAAUUGGACCCAAUAAUGCAGCCAACUUCAUUUGCUGACUGAAGGGAACAUUCUGGACUCUUGUCAUUCUGCUAACCCAGAGACCACAUCAGUCUUUUUUUUCAGCUGGAUUGGGUACUAGAUGAGGAGGCUACUCUGUUCUCUGGGUAUGUCCACUAUCUGAGUGACAGCAUAGGGGAGUCAGCAUCUCUCAAUAAUACUAAACACUCAAUAGCUACUUGCUCCAAAUCAAUCUAUUCUUCACAUCAAAAACCAAACAAACACAGAUUAAUGAAGAACUUGAGGAAUUUGAGGCACUGGAAAGAAGUACAACAGAAAUUCUGAGGAGUCUGAUAAAUUAGCUAAGCCUGUUAGAAGCAAAAGGAGGUAAAUAGGAGUUCCAACUUAAGCAUCAUGGGAAUAAAUGGCCAAACGGAAAGCUCAGUAGAUUUUACCAAAAGUAUUCUGGGAUAAACUGCAACAACUUAGAUAAGAAGUCAAUGUAACACAUUCUGAGCCUGAUGACUAAUUAUCAGAACCAUGGACAUAUGUUCUGAGGCUGACAAAUCCUUCUGUGAUACAGUUGCUGAGAAAAUGAGCCCCAAAGUUACACUCGUGCUCUUGGGUUGUUGCCAUCUCACACAGCAAUGAAGAGGUUUGUCGUUUUUGGCCAUCUAAAUCACCAUUUUUCCAGGUUGAGAGAUUCUCACCAUUGAGUUUUUCCAUAGAAGUUCUGCAUGGAUUGUGGUUUGGCUACAGAGUGGUUCUGUUGGCUUCCCAUUUCCCCCCUCCAAGAACUAGGUUUUAUGCAGUCCCUCACCUUCCUGCCCCACAUACUCCCCCGGGGGCAGAAGUUCUGCUGCAAUGGCAGGGAGCACCCCCCGCGGGUCUUGAGGAGCCCUCUUGUGCCAUCCUGGUGGCAAGGCCCAUGAACUUCCUCAGCUGCCCCCUGAGCUUGGGAGGAGGCAAAACCCAGGCAACUGGAGAGCUGGAAGCACAUGUUCUUCAUAGCCAGAUCCGUCUCGGGAGUGAUUCAGCAGGCAGUGACACAUCCACUUCCUAGAACUCUGCUCUGAGAGGAAGGACAGGGAUGGCCACACACAUGGCCUCACAGAUGCAGCCCAAAGGUUUUGGAAUCAGUCAACAUUCCAUCACGUACUCACUUUGCAAACUUCUGUAAUAAUAAUGAUCAGCAUUGUUUGUUAAUCUCUAACAAUGUGACAUGUACCGAGUAAAGUUUUUCUGCUUGCAUUAUCUUGUUUGAUCCAUAGUCAUAUGGGAUAGAUUUUACAGGUGAGGAAGCAGGCUGAGAGCAAUUAAGCAACUUGUCCAAUACCAUAUAACUAGAAAGUGAUGAAGCCAGGAAAAACCAAGGGUCUGGUCUACUUUCCUAGUCUCUUUGCCAUACUGCAAAUGAAUUACAUUUUCUAAGUGUCUGGUAUCUUGUUACCUUGUCUUUCACAUCAGGAUAUUAGUGCCUGUCUUGCAGCAUUAUUUCAUUCUCUCUCUGUCUUUCUCUCUCACUUAGCAUUUAUUGAGCUACUAUUUUAUUUAUGCCCUGACUUACAUCUGGAUAACAGUAGGACUCACUAGCCAAAACACACACACACACACACACCACCACCACCACCACCACCACCAACAACAACAACAACAAAGAAUGUAAUUUCAAUAAUUCAAUAAAGUAUGCAAAAUGUACCUGUUGAAUGGGAGG